GAUAUGAUCGCGGCCGUUGGUGCUCGCGUCCGGCCGUCCGGUCGGCGCAGUUCAACGGGAAUCAGGAAGGGCCCCGGGACGCCUGCGCGUCGGCCCCAACCUGAGCUGCCCCCGCAACGGUAAGCAGACCGCGCAACCCGGGCCACCCUGGUUGUUGCGCCGCCGUCAUCCAUGGCCACUGGAGCCCUGCUCUGGGAAGGCCGCGACGGCGUCAGGUCCGCCAGCCCGGAUACCGGCCAACAGGAGGCCCUGACG
rnacentral:ncRNA from 1 species